rnacentral:RNase_P_RNA from 1 species
CGAGCCGGGCGGGCGGCCGCGUGGGGGUCCUUUGGAUCCUCCCGAGGAACGUCCGGGCUCCACAGGGCAGGGUGGUGGCUAACGGCCACCCGGGGUGACCCGCGGGACAGUGCCACAGAAAACAGACCGCCGGGGACCUCGGUCCUCGGUAAGGGUGAAACGGUGGUGUAAGAGACCACCAGCGCCUGAGGCGACUCAGGCGGCUAGGUAAACCCCACCCGGAGCAAGGUCAAGAGGGGCUGUUUGGAGACAGACGGCUCUGCGCGAACGCUCGAGGGCUGCCCGCCCGAGUUCGCGGGUAGACCGCACGAGACCGGUGGCAACGCCGGUCCUAGAUGGAUGGCCGUCACCCCGACGACCGCGAGGUCCCGGGGUACAGAACCCGGCGUACAGCCCGACUCGUCUG